rnacentral:tRNA from 1 species
UCCGGGGUAGCUCAGUGGUAGAGCAGUUGGCUGUUAACCAAUUGGUCGCUGGUUCGAAUCCAGUCCCCGGAGCCA